UACGUAGGUGGCAAGCGUUGUCCGGAUUUACUGGGCGUAAAGAGCGCGCAGGCGGUCGUUCAAGUCGCGUGUGAAAGCCCCCGGCUCAACUGGGGAGGGUCACGCGAUACUGAUCGACUCGAAGGCAGGAGAGGGAAGUGGAAUUCCCGGUGUAGUGGUGAAAUGCGUAGAGAUCAGGAAGAACAUCGGUGGCGAAGGCGCUCUGCUGGACCAUAACUGACACUCAGGGACGAAAGCUAGGGGAGCGAAUGGG
rnacentral:rRNA from 1 species